rnacentral:rRNA from 1 species
GACGAACGCUGGCGGCGUGCUUAACACAUGCAAGUCGAACGGUGAAGCGCCUUCCUUUUUGGUGGGUGGGGAUGAGUGGCGAACGGGUGAGUAACACGUGCGUAACCUGCCCUCCCCUGCGGGAUAACCGCAUGAAAGUGAGGCUAAUACGGGAUAUUCUGGGUCUGUCGCAUGAUGGGUCUGGGAAAGAUUUUGUUUCGGUGGGGGAUGGGCUCGCGGCCUAUCAGCUUGUUGGUGGGGUGAUGGCCUACCAAGGCGGUGAGGGGUAGCCGGCCUGAGAGGGUGGGCGGUAACAGAGGGGAUGCGACGUGGAGACGCCUACUACAGGCGGCAGCGGGGGAGAAUAGUGAACGAGGGGCGGAAGCAUGAUGCAGCGCCGCGGCGUGGGGGAUGGAGGCCGUCGGGUUGUGAACCUCUUUCGCGAGUGAAGCGGGCCCGCCUCGUUUGUGGGUGGGUUGACGGUAGCUGGAGAAGAAGCGCCGGCUAACUACGUG